UNGUAACAAGGUUUCCGUAGAAUAAGUUCUGGAACUCCCGAUCUAAUCGGGGCUUAGUAUUUAGAUGAACCCUCUAUUUACAGUUGAUCCUUCCACAGUGACACUUAUAGAAGCCUAUGCAGCCCGUCAAGGGUGUACAACCGCGACUCAAAAGAAUGGUCGUAUUUGCAAGUUGGGUCUUUUGGCCGAGCAACAUAGCCAAAUUGCGGGAAGNUCCUAAAGCUUGAUAGUACCAACUACCUGUAGAAAUACUAGUAGGGCCUAUGUUAACAGCAUAGGGUACGGUAAAAACCUAUCGAGAUACUACAAUGGGNAAUCCGCAGCAAAGNCUCUAAGGGCGCCAGNCUAUGAGGAAUGUUCACAGACUAAAUGGUUACGGGAUGUUCCUAAGAACAUUUUAAGAGAUAGUCGGNCCUCCCGAGAAAUUUAGAGGCAUCAAGUCACUAGGAGCAGAAGCAUUUUACAGCCUGAAGUUAUCGGNAUCAUAACUAAAACAGACGCGCUUUUGCUCCCUAGAGAAAAAGAUACGUUCC
rnacentral:rRNA from 1 species